ncrna:unclassified sequences malK-I RNA
AAUACGGUGCCAGACGACUCUACAUUAUUCGUUUGGCAGACGUAAAAAAGGAGGCAACAAUUAACCCGUAUCGGCUCGCGGUGCAGCAGUGUGGAGACCUGUUGUAAUACCUUCGUCACAUAUGCGGGCGUCGGUGAGCUGCGCAGUUAGCGGAUGCUGUGCGCGGCAGAGUCGGAGAUAUGGCA